AUUGAACGCUGGCGGCAUGCCUUACACAUGCAAGUCGAACGUGAAAGCGGGGCAACCCGCAAGUAGAGUGGCGGACGGGUGAGUAAUACAUCGGAACGUGUCCAGUAAUGGGGGAUAACCUAGCGAAAGUUAGGCUAAUACCGCAUACGAUCUGCGGAUGAAAGCGGGGGAUGCGGCACUAAAGGCUUUUGGCGAAGUUGGCCAAAGGUGAGUCAAGAGCUUUUAGUGCUGCACCUCGCGUUAUUGGAGCGGCUGAUGUCUGAUUAGCUAGUUGGUGAGGUAAAGGCUUACCAAGGCGACGAUCAGUAGCUGGUCUGAGAGGACGGCCAGCCACACUGGGACUGAGACACGGCCCAGA
rnacentral:rRNA from 1 species